rnacentral:rRNA from 1 species
GACGAACGCUGGCGGCGUGCUUAACACAUGCAAGUCGAACGGAAAGGCCUGCUUUCCCUUGUGGAUUGCGGGUACUCGAGUGGCGAACGGGUGAGUAACACGUGAGUGAUCUGCCCCCAACUUGGGUAUAAGCCUGGGAAACUGGGUCUAAUUCCCGAUAGGACUGCAGGGUGGUGCCUGUGGUGGAAAACGAUUUUCUAGUGGUUGGGGAUGAGCUCGCGGCCUAUCAGCUUGUUGGUGGGGUAAUGGCCUACCAAGGCGGCGACGGGUAGCCGGCCUGAGAGGGUAGACGGCCACAUUGGGACUGAGAUACGGCCCAGACUCCUACGGGAGGCAGCAGUGGGGAAUAUUGCACAAUGGGCGGAAGCCUGAUGCAGCGACGCCGCGUGGGGGAUGACGGCCUUCGGGUUGUAAACUCCUUUCGACCGCGAGGAAGCCACCUGGUUGGAAGGGUGGUGACGGUAGUGGUAGAAGAAGCACCGGCUAACUACGUG